ensembl:lncRNA
GUAGGAUGCCCCCAAGAACGUUCUGUAUUCAUAGGCCCACUAUGAUUAUUACCCAGGAAGGCAGGAUGACGCGAAUGAACGCAUGAAUAGGUGAACAAAUGAAUGAACGGCACCCCAGCGGCAUCAUCCCCUGGUCCCCUGGGUGGCUCCAGGAUCCCUGCGGGGGGCACCUGUGUAGGUCCCCCACAGGCACGCCUAGGAGGCCUGACCGGCCCUCGGCAGUUCUCAGGCUGUAUCAGGCCUCCCACCCCCAGAAUGGACGCUCCCAGCUUUCAUAACCCUCCGGCCGGGGAGCUCACUACCUCAGAGACAGCCUGCUCUGCUGCUGAGCAUCUUGUAUGAGGAGGUCCUGCCAGCCUUUGAGCCACAAUCUGCCUUCUGGACUCCCGGACAUUUCCACUCCAUGCCUGCAGUCCUGCCUCCUGGCAGGUGCACUCCGCUCAGGCCCCACCCCAUCCCCCCCCCAAGAGAUCUGGGGAUCAUGCGAACAUCUCCCACCCCGAGGUGAUUCCCAGGCUAGACCACCAUGCAGCAGAAGGCCUCCAGCCCUUCCACUCAAGACGACCCAGCUGGCUUCUAGCCGGUCAUUGCCUCAUGCAGAGGGCAGGACGGUCCCCAAAGGCCCCAGAGCAGGAGCUGAGGACACAGUUCAUAAACUCAGGCCGUCUCCUCAGUGCAGCCUUGCUGACCACCCCGCGGGGGCACCCCUCCGACUCGGCCGUGUCUGGUUCCAUCGUGGCCACGAAGACGACGUGCCCAUCUGUAGGCUUAUUGGUGUCUGUGCUCGUUCUCAUUGCCUGGCCCCUCGGGGACAGGGACUAGCUCUUCUUGUCCCCUCGGCGGGCUGGUGGAUGCCCUGCGGAGGGAUCCAAAGCUGGGCCCCUGUGGCCUCAUCCUCCCCCCUUCCCCGGGCCUGGCCACCUUGUGAGAAGAGGGACAUUUGUUUCUCUGGGGAAAAGGCCCCUCGGGGUGACAUCUGCCACCAGAGCUGGUGCAGGGGAGAAAGAGAGGAAAGAGGGAGGCCAGGCAGGUGUGGGCUCCGGCUGGAUGGCAGAGACAUGGACAUGCCUCGGGGGGCCACGAUGCUGCCAGGAGGCCCCCCCCCCCGGGAGUCAAGAACAAAGGAUUCUGGGGAACGGCUUAUGCAGGGCGUUGCCCCCCACUCCCCCCAGACAUCAGCCUUUCAAGUGGAAGUUGAAAGGGCCACUGGCCCGUGGGCUGAGGCGGCGUGGAGGAAAUGGGCUGGGGACGGAAAUGACACGGCCGUGCAGGAAUGCUGCACUAGGCUGACACCCCGGCCAGGCCCUCUGGCCAGCACUGAGGGCGCCCUGGGCACCCCGAGCUGGGAGGCGUCAGCCAGCAGCAUGGGGGCCCAAUCGAGCUGCCCCUGACAAUGGAGGGGAAGACGGCCAGGCCUGACAACCCCCCUCACUGUUCCACCCGGGGGCCCUGCCUGGGACAUUGCAGGCCUGCUCAGUGCCUAGACCCCGGGGGUCCAGGGCCCUGUGAGUUCGGAGGACUGGCCAGACCGGGCCGCCUCGCUCCCACCUCCAGUGUCAGGUCCUUCUUAGUGACGAUGCGGACGCCCCUCGUCGUCUUCAUCCUCACGCGCUGGGGACUUCCCGUGUGCUAAGUGGGCUGCGUGCCCAGCCCCAUCAUACCCCAGGCCGACUACACGAUGGACUUACUGAAAAUCCCCAUGUAACAGAUGAGGAAACUGAGGCCCCGAGAAGCCCGACAACUUGCCCAAGACCAAGUCCCUGUCCCCUUGCUCCCCCUGUCCUCUCCUCUGCCCCCUGCUUCUCCCCCUCCGUCCUUUAUUAGACAAUUUGUUAUUAAGCGCCCGCCAUGCGCAGGCAUGAGCCAGGUGUUGGGGACAUCAAGAUGACCGAGACCCCCCUGGGCCUCUCCUCCCAAUGACAGGCAGGUGGGGAGAGUGGGGGCGACUGUGCCAUCCACCUGUAGAUCCUAGACCAGCAGAGGCUCUCGAACGAUCCAGACAGUGCUGGGCACCUUGUGUGGCCCUCCUGACCAAUUCAGCCUUUUUCUCCCCAUUUUUGGAGAAUAAAGAAGAAUGUAUCUGAGGUCUUGCAGCUCGCCUGUGACAGAGCUGGGAUCUGAACUCAGGCUCCGACGGCCCCGGUUUCCCGUGGUGUCACACUAUUGCACCUGUUCUCCUUUUCACUUUGGCUGCCAGGGAGCUCAGCAAAGAACUUUAGGCUUGCUCUCAGGCCUCCACAUUAGGCAGGGUUUGGGACAUUUUUGUCACCCCCUCCUUGGCUCUCUUUAUCCUCCCUGCUGGGCCUCCCAUGGAGCAGGCUGGACAUAAGUGAUCAACUAUAAAUAAAACCAAGACUUCCGGUCUGGCUGUCGC